rnacentral:rRNA from 1 species
AUGAUCAGCCACACUGGAACUGAGACACGGUCCAGACUCCUACGGGAGGCAGCAGUGGGGAAUAUUGCACAAUGGGCGCAAGCCUGAUGCAGCCAUGCCGCGUGUGUGAAGAAGGCCUUCGGGUUGUAAAGCACUUUCAGUUGUGAGGAAGGUGGUAGUGUUAAUAGCACUAUCAUUUGACGUUAGCAACAGAAGAAGCACCGGCUAACUCCGUGCCAGCAGCCGCGGUAAUACGGAGGGUGCGAGCGUUAAUCGGAAUUACUGGGCGUAAAGCGCAUGCAGGUGGUUUGUUAAGUCAGAUGUGAAAGCCCGGGGCUCAACCUCGGAACUGCAUUUGAAACUGGCAGACUAGAGUACUGUAGAGGGGGGUAGAAUUUCAGGUGUAGCGGUGAAAUGCGUAGAGAUCUGAAGGAAUACCGGUGGCGAAGGCGGCCCCCUGGACAGAUACUGACACUCAGAUGCGAAAGCGUGGGGAGCAAACAGGAUUAGAUACCCUGGUAGUCCACGCUGUAAACGAUGUCUACUUGGAGGUUGUGGCCUUGAGCCGUGGCUUUCGGAGCUAACGCGUUAAGUAGACCGCCUGGGGAGUACGGUCGCAAGAUUAAAACUCAAAUGAAUUGACGGGGGCCCGCACAAGCGGUGGAGCAUGUGGUUUAAUUCGAUGCAACGCGAAGAACCUUAC